rnacentral:rRNA from 1 species
UACUAAAGUAGUAAUAGUUAUGUGCUUGAAACUUAAAAAAUUUGGCGGUAUUUUAGUCUAUUCAGAGGAACCUGUCCUGUAAUCGAUAAUCCACGUUGGACCUUACUUAAGUUUGUUAAUCAGUUUGUAUACCGUCGUUAUAAGAAUAUUUUAUUAGAACAAUAAUUUUCUAUAAUUUUUAUAAAAAUUUAUAUCAGAUCAAGGUGCAGCUUAUAUUUAAGUAGAGAUGGGUUACAAUAAAAUAAUUUAUAUGAAUAAAUAUUUGAAAUAAUAUUUUGAAGGUGGAUUUGAAUGUAAAAUUAUAAAGAUUAAUAAUUUGAUUUUAGCUCUAAAAUAUGUACAUAUCGCCCGUCACUCUUAUUAUUAAGGUAAGAUAAGUCGUAACAUAGUAGAUGUACUGGAAAGUGUAUCUAGAAUGCAAUUUAAAGCUUAAAUAGUAAAGCAUUUCAUUUACAUUGAAAAGAUUUUUGUGCAAAUCAAUAUAAAUUGAUUAGUUUUUAUUUAUUAAUUUAUUUAUUUAUUUUUAGUUUAUUUUAGAAAUAACUAUUUAAUAAAAUGUUUUAGUAUUUUAUAAAGAAUAAAUAAUAUUUAUAAUAGUAUAUUAGUAUUGUGAAAGAAAAUUGAAAUAAUUUGAAAAAUUUUU